AAGUCCCUGCGGUGCGCGUUAGAGAGGGAUUAUAAAGAACCAAUACUUUAUAGAAGGGAUGCUUGACUUCUAAACUGUUUGUGGACAGAUUUUUAGAGAGGCUCCCACUUGGUGAAUGGGUUCACCUAUUAUCUUUCUCGACGGCAUUCGCGGGGAUUUU
rnacentral:other from 1 species